UACGAAGGGUGCAAGCGUUACUCGGAAUUACUGGGCGUAAAGCGUGCGUAGGUGGUGAGUUAAGUCUGUCGUGAAAGCCCCGGGCUUAACCUGGGAACUGCGCUUGUGACUGCAAGACUCGAGUACGGCAGAGGGGGGUAGAAUUCCACGUGUAGCAGUGAAAUGCGUAGAGAUGUGGAGGAAUACCGAUGGCGAAGGCAGCCCCCUGGGUCGAUACUGACGCUCAUGCACGAAAGCGUGGGGAGCAAACAGG
rnacentral:rRNA from 1 species